rnacentral:rRNA from 1 species
CGCGUAGUUAGCCGGUGCUUAUUCUUCAGGUACCGUCAUGAGUCCCAGGUAUUAGCCAGAACCUUUUCUUCCCUGACAAAAGCGGUUUACAACCCGAAGGCCUUCUUCCCGCACGCGGCAUGGCUGGAUCAGGCUUGCGCCCAUUGUCCAAAAUUCCCCACUGCUGCCUCCCGUAGGAGUCUGGGCCGUGUCUCAGUCCCAGUGUGGCUGGUCGUCCUCUCAGACCAGCUACAGAUCGUCGGCUUGGUGAGCCUUUACCUCACCAACUACCUAAUCUGAUAUCGGCCGCUCCAAUCGCGCGAGGUCUUGCGAUCCCCCGCUUUCACCCUCAGGUCGUAUGCGGUAUUAGCUGCUCUUUCGAGCAGUUAUCCCCCACGACUGGGCACGUUCCGAUACAUUACUCACCCGUUCGCCACUCGUCAGCUUAACCUGUUACCGUUCGACUUGCAUGUGUAAGGCAUGCCGCCAGCGUUCAAUCUGAGCCAGGAUCAAACUCU